CGGGAAGCAGAGGCAUUACAGCCACCACUUUCUGGCAGAGGACUAGCGGUAUACAUUCAUACGCUGAGCUGUGCCAGCGAAGCCUCGGCGUCCCCGGUUCAGAUUAGUUUUGAGGAAUGUGGCGCGAAGGCGUGCAAGGAUAAGGUAAGUGGCGGUUUAGAAUGCGGUGUGUGGGCUGCCGUGUGUUUGAGGCCUUUCGGUCGGAGACGAAGAUAAAACACUGCCAGCGUGUUCAUUUCCCCUUUCCAGUCCAGCGCGGAUGGUAUUCAAACCCAUAGGCAGGCCACAGGGAGAUGUUGACUGUGACAGGUGCUGCAUGGCUUCUGGGUCGCAGUGUCGCCUAUCUCCUCCCCUGGCUCCUAAACCUCAUUCAUUCCUCUCAUCUGGAUUGGAAUGCAGCCCGUAGACACUUAAUAAUCAGAUCUGGAACACUUCUGAUAUCAGACUGACGUCCCUCCUCCGAAGCACCCGC
ensembl:lncRNA